GCACAAGCAAUUGAAGAAUUUCUACAAUUUCUUUUUAGAAUUAAUUAAACUUUAAUCUAGUGUUUUAGAAUUUGUAGACAAAUGUUUUAUGAUUUUGGGCUAAUUUUUUAUAGUGUAGGCAAAGCCCAAAUUGUAAAAACAUGAUGUGGCAUUAAGGUUUUGGGUGGACCCCACCCUCUCAAUUUUGUGACUCAUUCUCAGACCUAGGGUGGUGUGCCGUCACAUACUUUGGGGG
rnacentral:lncRNA from 1 species